CUACGGGGUGCACCAGUGAGGAAUUUUGCGCAAUGGGGGAAACCCUGACGCAGCAACGCCGCGUGAGUGAAGAAGGCCCUUGGGUCGUAAAGCUCUGUCGACAGGGAAGAAAUUAGAGUUUUCUAAUAGGAGAUUCUAUUGACGGUACCUGUAGAGGAAGCACCGGCUAACUCCGUGCCAGCAGCCGCGGUAAUACGGGGGGUGCAAGCGUUAUUCGGAAUUAUUGGGCGUAAAGGGCGCGUAGGCGGUCUUGUCGGUCAGAUGUGAAAGCCCAGGGCUCAACCCUGGACGUGCAUUUGAAACAGCAAGACUUGAGUACGGGAGAGGAAAGCGGAAUUCCUGGUGUAGAGGUGAAAUUCGUAGAUAUCAGGAGGAACACCGAUGGCGAAGGCAGCUUUCUGGACCGAUACUGACGCUGAGGCGCGAAGGCGUGGGUAGCGAACAGGAUUAGAUACCCUCGUAGUC
rnacentral:rRNA from 1 species